rnacentral:misc_RNA from 1 species
GAUGAAGAACGUAGCGAAAUGCGAUAAGUAAUGUGAAUUGCAGAAUUCAGUGAAUCAUCGAAUCUUUGAACGCACAUUGCGCCCGCCAGUAUUCUGGCGGGCAUGCCUGUCUGAGCGUCAUUUCAACCCUCAUGCCCCUAGGGCGUGGUGUUGGGGAUCGGCCAAAGCCCGCGAGGGACGGCCGGCCCCUAAAUCCAGUGGCGGACCCGUCGUGGCCUCCUCUGCGAAGUAGUGAUAUUCCGCAUCGGAGAGCGAUGAGCCCCUGCCGUUAAACCCCCAACUUUCCAAGGUUGACCUCAGAUCAGGUAGGAAUACCCGCUGAACUUAAGCAUAUCAAUAAGCGGAGGA